rnacentral:lncRNA from 1 species
UUUUUUUUUUUUGUUUUUUUUUUUUUUUAAGGAACUUGGACAUUUAGAAGUUACUAUGAACAGUGAUCAAGUCCUAGGAAUAGGGAUGUUCCCAGGCUAUGAGCCACAUCAUGACAUUAGAAAGUGGAAGGGAGGCUUAACCCAGGGCUGGUUUAGGCAACACAGGAUACCAGCUCUCCCAGGCCAACUUACCACCCUGGUCUUGACCUUUAUCAAGUAUUUCCUUUUGAGAUUACUUAUGAAUGCCUUUUCCCUUCUCUGAAGACAAGGAAUAUGGCAGAGGGUGAAACAAAGGGCAGGGGAAAUCUUUUUAUAAGGUAUCUGUGUUCUCAUUGCCGAUUAAUAAGCAAUUAGCCACUUGAUUUCAAUGUUUAGAUGCACACCCUGUAAGAUUAGUUAUGUGGUACUUGAUGGUGACAGCAGGAUGGUGUCCAGUCUCCUUUCUUAAAAGGCUUGAAUCCUAUGUAGAAGCAAAAUUUCACAUACAAAUUUCUGGGUGUUUGCCAAACUCUAACUAGGUUUCCAGGAAUAAUGUACUCAUUCUGUCAGGCCAUGCCUCCUCUUCCCAAGCUUCAAGUGUAAUAAGUCAUCAGAAUUUGACCCCUAGACUAUCUGCAAAUGACAAAGCACUUUAUCACAUCCCUGCUGAGUCCCAGAAUUCCACUUACAGCCAGUCCUCCCCAAGACUAGCCUUUGUUCAAAGAAUCUUUAAGGCUCAUAGUUCCAUGAAAAAAAUAACCCUAAUCCCUUUAAAUGUAGAAGCCUACAAAACCAAUGUUUUGAGCCAAGAGGAAAGAUUUAUUUGCAUAGUUAAGCAAAUUACUUUGAUUCUAAGUUUCCUCUUACCAUCCCACUCUCAUUUUCCAUGUUGUGUAUUCAGAUAUCCUUUUUCCCCUUCAUUUUAUCCUAUGUGGACAGAAGCAAAGCUUCAAGAAAAGCCUUAGUCUAAGUUCAACAAUGAACCUGGCCCUGCACCGCCCCUACCCCAACAUAAACUUGUCUGUUUCAGAGAUACACAAAUACUGAAGUACUUCUUGAAACUGCUGCCUCCUAUCACACUGCAGUAUGAUAAGAACAUGAGUCUAAAGUACAAAGAUUAUAUUUAACCAGUGUUCUUCUAGUGUUUCAACAAGCCCCUUCUGAAACCCAGUUCUUUUUACAAUAGGGAAAGCAGUUAAGUCCCAGGACAGACCCAGAAUUCACUCUAGCGAGGAAAUCAAGAGUAGGUCUGGCUAGUUUAAAUUUUUAUUUUUUUAAGUAGGCUCCACACCUAAUGUGGAGCUUGAACUCAAGACCCUAAUCUUAAGAGUCUCAUGCUCUACCUACUGAGCCAGCGAGGGACCCAUUUUAACUCUUAGGAUCAUAGUAAUGGUAAAAGAGAAUUCCACUAGUUUUCCCAAUACCUUUGAUAUGAAUCCAGGAACCUAUUCUUACACUGUAAACACAGGAUUGGAUAAAGUGCUGCUCUCUUAACCUAAGAAGAGAAGGGGACUAACAUGUACUGUUUUCCAUUCCAGCUGACUGCAUGAUCACAAUUCUCUGCAGCUUCAUAGCACAAAGAAACCAAGCCAUCUCCCCCACCACACCCCAAACUACCAAACUAGAAUUUUUGAAAGUCAGCCUUUUUCUUAGAAGAUUCAUAAGGAUUUUGUUGAGAACCACUGAUUUGAGUCAUUACUCUGCCCUAAGCAAUUUAGCAGGCAUUGAAUGUACAUUAUGUCAUUUGUCCCAUGACUGAAUUCAGACCCAUUCAAUUGUAGAAGCUAUGUGGUGGACAGAAGAGAGGAAGAGUUCACCAUGAGGAGAUCCUAAAUUCCCACCUUUCCAGUAAUGCUGACCCCACAGUUCUUGUCUGUUUUUCUUCUCACCCUGUUCUGCCCACUGGACCUUUUGUCUGACUCUUUCCAAUUAAGUUACAGGUGAAUCCUCCAUUACCCAGGUCCAGAACAGAUGUGUGCACAGAACCUCAAUGGACCCCCAAGAAAAAGAUAUUUAUUCUUCCUUUUCUCUCACC